rnacentral:rRNA from 2 species
ACAGGGAUUGCCCCAGUAACGGCGAGUGAAGCGGCAACAGCUCAAAUUUGAAAUCUGGCCCCAGGCCCGAGUUGUAAUUUGCAGAGGAUGCUUUUGGCGCGGUGCCUUCCGAGUUCCCUGGAACGGGACGCCAUAGAGGGUGAGAGCCCCGUACGGUUGGACACCAAGCCUUUGUAAAGCUCCUUCGACGAGUCGAGUAGUUUGGGAAUGCUGCUCUAAAUGGGAGGUAUAUUUCUUCUAAAGCUAAAUAUAGGCCAGAGACCGAUAGCGCACAAGUAGAGUGAUCGAAAGAUGAAAAGCACUUUGAAAAGAGGGUUAAACAGCACGUGAAAUUGUUGAAAGGGAAGCGCUUGUGACCAGACUUGCGUCCGGUGAAUCACCCAGCUCUCGCGGCUGGGGCACUUUGCCGGCACAGGCCAGCAUCAGCUCGCUGUCGGGGACAAAAGCUUCGGGAACGUAGCUCUCUUCGGGGAGUGUUAUAGCCCGUUGCAUAAUACCCUUCGGUGGGCUGAGGUACGCGCUCCGCAAGGAUGCUGGCGUAAUGGUCAUCAGCGACCCGUCUUGAAACACGGACCAAGGAGUCAACCUUAUGUGCGAGUGUUUGGGUGUUAAACCCCUACGCGUAAUGAAAGUGAACGCAGGUGAGAGCUUCGGCGCAUCAUCGACCGAUCCUGAUGUUCUCGGACGGAUUUGAGUAAGAGCAUAUAGGGUUGGACCCGAAAGAAGGUGAACUAUGCGUGUAUAGGGUGAAGCCAGAGGAAACUCUGGUGGAGGCUCGCAGCGGUUCUGACGUGCAAAUCGAUCGUCAAAUAUGCGCAUGGGGGCGAAAGACUAAUCGAACCUUCUAGUAGCUGGUUUCCGCCGAAGUUUCCCUCAGGAUAGCAGUGUUGAACUCAGUUUUAUGAGGUAAAGCGAAUGAUUAGGGACUCGGGGGCGCUAUAUUGCCUUCAUCCAUUCUCAAACUUUAAAUAUGUAAGAAGCUCUUGUUACUUAAUUGAACGUGGGCAUUCGAAUGUAUCAACACUAGUGGGCCAUUUUUGGUAAGCAGAACUGGCGAUGCGGGAUGAACCGAACGCGAGGUUAAGGUGCCAGAGUAGACGCUCAUCAGACACCACAAAAGGUGUUAGUACAUCUUGACAGCAGGACGGUGGCCAUGGAAGUCGGAAUCCGCUAAGGACUGUGUAACAACUCACCUGCCGAAUGUACUAGCCCUGAAAAUGGAUGGCGCUCAAGCGUCUCACCCAUACCUCGCCCUCAGUGUAGAAACGAUGCGCUGAGGAGUAGGCGGACGUGGAGGUCAGUGACGAAGCCUA